rnacentral:rRNA from 1 species
GACCAGACUCCUACGGGAGGCAGCAGUGGGGGAUAUUGCACAAUGGGGGGAACCCUGAUGCAGCGACGCCGCGUGAGGGAAGACGGUUUUCGGAUUGUAAACCUCUGUCUUUAGGGACGAAACAAAUGACGGUACCUAAAGAGGAAGCCACGGCUAACUACGUGCCAGCAGCCGCGGUAAUACGUAGGGGGCAAGCGUUAUCCGGAUUUACUGGGUGUAAAGGGAGCGUAGACGGCAGUGCAAGUCUGAAGUGAAAGCCCCGGGCUUAACCCGGGAACUGCUUUGGAAACUGUACGGCUGGAGUGCUGGAGAGGUAAGCGGAAUUCCUAGUGUAGCGGUGAAAUGCGUAGAUAUUAGGAGGAACACCAGUGGCGAAGGCGGCUUACUGGACAGUAACUGACGUUGAGGCUCGAAAGCGUGGGGAGCAAACAGGAUUAGAUACCCCUGUA